rnacentral:misc_RNA from 1 species
UUCGAAAGUCAAAAGACCCCCGACUUGGGUUCCAAAGGCAAACCUUAAGGCGGGGCNUCGACACAUCCUUCUGUCAAUCGCGGCUAAUAAGCCAACAACCACCACUAGACGUAUCGCAGCCCACCAAAGGUCCAAAUUUUAGGCAAACCGCACAAGGAUUUGAACGGAUAGCCAAUCUCCGCAUCCUAUAUCCACUUCUACUGAGAUGGAUGUGGGAGCGACGCAUAGCAUGACGCCCAAGCAGGUGUGCCCUCAACC